AUUUGCUCCAACUCUGUCGCGUCGUCAUAUAUACUAUUAAAUUUAAUUUGUAUAGAUAUAUUAUAAUACUUGAGCGACAUCGUGUUUGUUUCUAUACAUAGUUGUGUUCAUUCAGUUUGUAUACCCUUAUUUUAAAUCAUUUUAUAGUAUAUAACAUGUGUAUUAAAUAAAAAAUUAUAUAUUAAGGUUACUACAAUAUAUACGUACGUGUCGCUUUGUAUUUUCAAUUAAUUACGUUGUAAAUAAUAUUGUAUUGUAUUUAUAUUUAAAAAGAAUCUAUUUGUACGUGAGUGUAUGUGAAGUUCACCGAACGCCGCUUAUACCCCUUCCCACCCCGUCCUGCCACUAUCCCCAAAGAAAAAAUACUAUGCGGCCGAGCUUUGCGUGUGUUCACGACUAGCAUGUGUACUAGCCGAAGUACCAGAGGUAACGAGUCAGGGCAGAGGAGCCAGAAGAAGACGUCAUCGUGGCUUGUCUGAGAAGUGGUGACCGCCGCAGCCGCCUUAGAUUCUCGGAAUGCCUGCUUACAUACACACACAAUUCCUGUGAACGGAUAAACGACGACGACGACGACCUAAGGUCAAACUAAUAACCAUAUACCUACGGUCGAAGUGAACGUCGAAACUCAGAAAAAAAGUUCCCUGUAGAUCAAAGAGUUAAUUAUUAUUUAUUUGUUUUUUUUUUUAUGUAUAAUUUUUUAUAUGAUUUUGUUAUAAGUUUCUUUUUUGUUCAGGAAAAAAAUAGUAUAUUUUGUUUUAUUUUUAA